AGCAGGUUUUUUCUAGGAGCUGAGCGGAAAAGGAAGGUGGAGCUGUCCUCUGGGAUCCUGCGUUCUGGAACCCUGGUUACUGCCUAACAGGAAAUGAGCGGAAAUGUACCCAAACUGCAGCGCUCCUGAGAACUUGCCAGGGGCAGCCUUGAAAGAGCACCAGAAGAAGCUGCCCCUCACACUUCGCCAGCCAGGAAACGCCGUUAGGGUUGGAGUUCGAGGGUAAAGACGCCUCAGCCGGCCUGCACAGCUCCCAACCUCCGGGGCAGAGAAGGUCUGUGGCUCGAAAACUUCAGCAUCACACUUUCCCUACAGCUUACAAAUUUUACAAAUUUCACCUUUGAAAUAAGAAACAAGACUACUUUCCUCCCGCCAACCCCCUGGCUCCCACUUGCCACAGAGCCAGAACGUGCAACACACUUGCUUCCGAAAUCCCAUGAAAGAAGUGGGCCACGGGGCCAAACUAAAAACUAAGUUUUGGGGUGCCUGGUGGGGGGCUCAGGGAGUUAAGCGUCUGACUCUUGAUUUCGGCUCAGGUCGUGAUCUCACGGUUCACGGGAUCGAGCCCAGCGCCAGGCUCUGGGCUGACAGCUCAGAGCCUGCUUGGGAUUCUCUUGCUCUCUGCCCCCCCCCCCCCCCCCCCCGCUUGUUCUCGCUCUAAUAAAUAAAUAAAAGCCGAGUUUCCCCAGAUUGGAUCAGUUUCAAAAUAUUGGCAACAACAGAAGAGGGGAAGGGCUGAGACAGGCCAGAGCACUGCUAACCGGCCCAUGUCCUUGGGUCAAAGGCCCUGGGACGCAUGCCAGAGGCAAAGGGCAGGCCUGAGUAGGCCUGGUCACAACCGGUGUUUCCUCGGAGGAAAAACUCGAGCAGAUGUGCAUACGGGCACCUGAGGGGUGAACCGCUGAACUCAGAACCAUCCGUACGAACUAGCGCUCAGAUGGGGGCUCCACAAAGGGAAAGCUGGGGGGAUGGGUUGAGGGGUAAACAGCACUGGCUCCUCGGUUCCCUCGCUAAGUUCUGGGGUCUCAGAAAUGUGACAGCCCCCAGUUUCUGAAACUGAGCAGGGAGCUGCUACGAAACUCCUCACCUCACAUGCUAUUAUUCAGAGGCAUGUGGACUAUAAUUAAGUGUCCCAUGGCUCUGCCUUCACACAGAGCCAGCUAAGUAGGGAGAAGAGCGCCCAGGCACGCUGACUGGUCUUUAAUCAACACAGGGUUCUGAGUCAGAGGUGAACUUGCCACCUCACGCUCGGCGGGCACGGGGAGCAGAAGCAGAACACGAUGCCCGCUUGAGAGGUCCUGGUUUGUUAACGACAAUACGCAGGAUGCUGCCUGGUUACAGAGAGCCUCCGUGACGGCGAACAGGGUCCUGUGAAGGUGGUCAGGUUCCCCCAGCUUCACGGACAGGCCUGGGAAGCGGUGGGGUUUAAGGAGGUCCCAGGUUCCUUUGGGGGAGGGCAGUCUCACACCUGUUCUGUAGCUCCCCAGUCCAGGCCUAAAACACCAGGCUGGUUACUCUACCCAUCCAGCAAGCUGGCGGCCCAAAGCCGAGUGGAAAGAGCAGGCUGGUCUGUCCACCAGUGGAGCGGGACGGGAACAUCUCGGUCCAGGGUCCCACAGGGAUGCCGCUAGUUCAAAGGUCUUCUUACAAGGGGAGUCAGCAGAGUUGCUUCCGGCAAAGUUGGACUUAAUCCAGAUCCCAUCUCACGUGGACACAGUAACAACCAAAGCCAUCCCCGUGUGUGCUGCCCCAAGGCAGAGGGUCUUCCGGCAGUUAGCCUGCAGCUGCUGAGCUCAAGGGCCUGGGGCAGGGACCCCACUUUGCCUGUUGUGCUCAGCACACAGGUUCCGUGCUUUAAGUCCCGCUGAUGAGGGAGCUCCACGGUCCAGAUUUUUUGCAUCUAAGAUCACUGCAUGUUUAUUACUUAAGAGGCUAAACCCUUUGCUAGGAAAUCAAGUGGGAUUCCACACAAUAAGGUUUAAAAAAUAGGUCAGAGCAGGCAGGAUCUGGGGACGUUCCAAACACCAGCCACAUCUCCCUGAUACUAAUUACUCUAAAGGUUGGGGUCCUGGGUGCCCCGGCCCUUUCCCCACCUCAUGCCUCUCAAAGGAAGUCUGAUCUUUCCUCCUAGGCACAAACCCAGGGCCUAGCAAGCAUCCAAUGAACUUCAAAGCUCUGGGAUAUGGCAGUCAUGAAUUUUCCUCUUAGCUCUCGCACAACCAAUCUUUCAG